ensembl:lncRNA
CAGACUCGUGUAAGGCAUGCCAACACGACCAGGGGCACACACGUACUUACACCCUCUCAUAGACAUAGAUUGGUUCCCCUGGGCACCAGAAGCACAUAGGCCCCUUGGAAAUGGGCCUAGGAGAAGACGAGUGUGUCUGCAGAGCGUAAGGAGAACGGAGGAUGGAAGGAGGUGAGGGGACAGAUGGAGAUGGGUGACAAAUAAGACCCAGAGAAAGGCACGUCACAGACACACCUACAUGCAUACCACACACGCCCCGUUACUACUAAGCCUCUGACAGACCCCACAGGCUUCCUGCCUGCCAAGGGACACGACAUAGCAACUACAUGACGUGGCGCACGUCACUCAGUCUCUCCAAGGUUUGGUUUUCUCUCCUAUAGAAUGAGAAUUUGAUAACACCUGUUUUCCAUGCCAAAUUGAUUUACUGUGAGUUGACAGGUAAAUCCUCCAAAAAACGGUUCAGAAUCCGGCCACUUCUCCCACCUCCACCACGACCAUCCCAGCCAGGCCACCGUGCCACCCAGCUCCCUGCCCCCCUCCCACUCCCCACUGCAGUGGCAGGUCAGGUCCACACUGCAGCCACUGCCCUUCUCUUCCCAACCUCCAGGUACAUUUCCAUCUCAUUCACAGUAGAAGGCAAAGUUCUUACAACAGGCCUGGGGGCUGCCCUCCCCGCUUCCUCCCUACCCGUCUUAACUCCAAAGGUACGAAAAUAUAAAGCUCUGCUUUCUUCCGUAGCCUCUCUCAAGCCAUCAUGGUGUUUUUUAUUUGCUACUUAAUGUUAUUCUAACUACAGAAAAAAUUAAAAUUUUAAAAUAUUAGCAUGAAUUUUACUGCUCAACUUUAUAUUGUGCAAUGCCAGCUUUAAAUGCAAAUAUUAGAGCAUUUAACUCGUGGAAUCAAGACAGUUAGGCAAUUCCUAUUUCAUAGCUCGUAUCUGCACAUGUAUUUCAUUCUCACCAGAACCAUGGAAACACUGCACAAAAUACCACAUGAAACUCAAUUUUUUAUGUCUUUUUUUUCUUCUGCUUUUACUUUUAUUUGCGUUUAUUUUAUGCUGAAUUUAUUCCUGGCCAUAAGUCUGUGUUUCUUCUGGGAUAACUUUUUCUUCUGUGCAGCCUCCUCUCUGGUCUAGGAACUAUCUACUGCCCUUUAAUGAGGAGCAUCUCAGUGGCAGGCGUGCUUUUGCAGGGGUGAAGCCAGCCAGGACCUGUGUUAGGACAGGCGCACUCUUGCCUAUAUGUGCUCAAUGACGAGAGAAUCGACAUCUGAACCGCUAAGUUCUGCUUUGCCCUCUUCGUUUUCAAUCCCGUGCAGCAAACAUUCAGCACUCCUUCGGGACCCUGACCCCAUGUCCAGCCGCACAGUUUGCCCGGGGCAGCCCUACCAACUCUGCCGUUGUAGCAACGGGACAGCACAUGCUGCCUCUGUAAAGUGACACCCUUCAGAUACCCGGAGGCUUUCGGGUAUGCAUGUCCUUGGUGACCAGGGUCGUUUCACGGGUGUUCUUAAAGAGAACACGAAGAUUUGGACCUCUUGAUUUGAAUGACUUUGUGGGGUCUUCUGGGUCAACUGAAUAGGGAACCGUUUCUAGAAAUCACCUCAGGCCACUUACUGGAAGAGCUUCUCUUUUUGAUAUGCAUGGAUUCUCCCAAAGUUUUCUACCUCGGGCUGGCUGAUGGGUGAGGAAGGACCAAAAGAGAAAGGAACUCUAUAUAGGGACAGGGACGCAAGGAAGAGGGUGGGCAUGCGUACUGUGCAUAUCUCCUCUGUGCCAUUGUCCCAUGGACUUCACUUAGAAAACACAACACCAGGCGGAGAAUAAAGGAGCCAUCCCAUCAAGCCCUGCGCAAAUUUUAGAAGCAUAAGCAAAUAAACAGUUGUUGUUUUAACUCGCUGAGUUUUGUGGUGGCUUGUUACACGGUAGCUGGUGACAGAUACAAUGGCUGAGAUCGCACACAGCUAGUAUGAGACCAGGCUGUGGUGGAAUCCACGUGGGUCUGCUUCUCAAGUCCACACGCUUCUCUGCCCCACCAGGGCUUCCUUACAAAUGCUUCGUAGAGUAACUCUUAUUCUUCUCUUUGGAGAGUUGAUGAGUUUAGGGUUGAACUGGGGGGCGAAGGUUACUUAACUGAAACAAAUCAAAGUUGUUAUUAGAGCUUGGAGGAAUCCACAUCUGGACUCGAUGUCGGGGGAUAGGGGGUUGGUGGGUGGGUCAGGGCUGAGAACAGGCCCAGCCUCUGUCCAGGGUGAGCCUGGGCCCAGUGGGGUGCUUGGACAUCUGUUUUCCAUCCUGAUUCAGUAAAUAAAACUGCUUUCCUCCACUGACCCUUCAGGAAAUGGGAGUCAGAAGUUCACCCGGCCAGGAGUGGACCUCUCCUCUGACAGGAGCCCUCCCAUAUGCCUGGACAAGACGCAGAGGGCAGGGCCUCAGGCCACUGCUCUGGCUCCCCUCUGAACCAGCAGAGAAAGGAAUUCUUAGGGCCUCCCUUUGUCAAGGAAUCAGGUUUUUCUCAUUUAACCAAUGGCUGUUAUCCCUGCUGUCAGCUGUUAGCAUAUAACAUUAGUAUGUUGGAUGUUUAUUUUUUUGAUCCCACAGUUCACGCAUCAGUAAAGAUGUUUUCAGUGGCCAGAAACAGAACUUCUAUUCAGUUGGCUUAGACAAUAAAGAAAGUGUAUUCUGUCACAGAACAAGAAGUCCAGGGGAAGACUAGCUUCAGCAGAGGUUAGUCCUGCCGCUCAACAUCAUCAUCAAGGACCCAGGUUUAUUCUCUGCUUGUGGCGUUGUCCUUGGCUAGCUUGCUUCAUGGUCACAAGAUGGCUGCUGCCACCCCAGACAUCACAUUGUCACAAAACAAUGUCCAUAGCAGCAAAACAAAAAACAUACACAAAAAAUACCCCAGGAAACAUCUCAUCCUUGUGUCCCAUUUUAAGACCAAAGAAAGUUUUUCCCAGAAGUCCUCAGAAGACUGUCUCACACUGCUCAUUGGCUAGAAUUGAGCCACAUCCCAUGCCUGAAUCUAUCCCAAGCAAGGUGGAUACUGCCACUAUUACUGCCCUGAGCCCAGAAGGAGAAGGAAAAACACCUGGAACAAACCCAGUCUCAGCAGGUACUGAGGGGGAGGGUGGUGGGAGGGAGAAGGGUCCCUGGGUGGGCAAUCAACGGUGUGCACUGCAGCUCAUUCUUGCGAACCCGGUUUUUCUACAGCUCGGGGAAGAGGAGGGGAGGAUUGGUAUUGACAAAGUGACCCAGGCCCCAGAUUCUAUGACUCGACUAAAUUGCCUCACAAAGUACUUACAGGGAGUAUAUUUUACUUGAAGUACUUACAGGAAGUAAUAAAAACUCAGGGAUGGAGGCAGGGACGUUGGUCUCUCAUCUGAGCAUCUGUCUGGGUUCUUAAGAGCAUCAAUGUCGGAGUUAGACCCAGGUGUGAGUUCUGUCCCUUUCUGCAUUUCUGAUCUUGUACAAGCUCUUUCAUCUCUGUGUAACCCUUCCUUUAUACGUAAAAUGAGGAUAACAUGCCUACCCCCCAGACUGUUUCAUUAACCAAUACACUGCUUGGCAUAUAGAAAAGGGUCAAAAAAUAUUUUGGGCAGUUGGAACCGUGUGACCCAGCUUGGCUGUUUCCUCCUACAAAGCCACCCCCACUCCUUCCUUGAGCUCAUCUCCUUCCUCCCAGCCCCAUCCUCGGGCUCCACGCUCUCUCCUCUCGCAUCCCUCUAUCCCUCACACACAGCACUUCCUGUCGGGCUACCCUACCUAGCACCUAGACAGGGUGUCCCAUCCACAAGCCAGAUAAGGAAACUAGAGUCCUCUGUGGCCACCCACCUCACAGAAUCACUGCUGCCAACUGCCUAUGUAUCCACGCUCCAGGUCCCAGCUCCUCUCUAUCUCCAUGAUGCUGACUUGUCUCUGUUUAUUGUCAGGGUUCUUCGUUGAAAGCAACAGAAAGCUCACGGACUCCUCGGGCUGGCUGGAGAGCUAAGCUCAGGAACCAGGGAGGACCGGACAGCAGCCAGAACCCCUGCCAAAUCACACCUCAGGGCUAGAGCAGGGAGGACAACAGUGAAACUGGCCCUGAGGCUCCUCUGGCCCUGGAAACCUCCUGGGGCGGCUGCCGCCAAUUCUGUCAGAUACAUCCCAUCACCGUGUCUUUGUAUCACCUGCUAAGAUUCAGAGUUCCUGGGGGUGCAUCUGAUUGGCUGAGCCAGAUCAUAUGCCUGCCCUACAGCUGCAAAGGAGGCUGGGAAAGUGAGGUCAGGUUUUCAUGGUGGGAGAAGGGCUCUGCUUGCCCAUGACUUGCAAGGUAGGGGAUGCAGGAGAGCCACAGAAAGAGUAAAGGGGCACUCUGCUGGGUGAGAGGCCAUGGGCUCCCCGAGAGGCAGGGCUGUGGCUGUUUAUCCCACGCCCCACCCCCAGUGUUGGGAGCAGGUAUGCUCUCAACAGGCUUCAGGAAAGUGUCCAGUGAUCUGACUCACCUGGACUCGGAGAACCGUGGUGCCGGAGGGACCACCUUGGGAUUCCUGCAAAAGAGGUUUGAGGACAAAUGUAGAACUGCCGCUUUUUAUUUUGCCAAGUAAGACUAUCAAAAGCAAACAAUAAAUAAACCACUUUCUACCCUCACCAUUUCAUAAAAGAGGGGACAUCUUAAACACCAAUAAAACUAAAAGGACCAGGGAGAGCAUGAUUUUAGAAUCGAGCACAAUCCUUCAAGCUAAAUACACGUUAGCUUUAAGAAAAUCUCUCUGUCGUCCGGAUGUUUCUACUUUCGCUGGAAACCUAUGAAAAGGUCAUGACACAACUGACUUUGAACAUGGACUGUGGACUAGAUAAUGGUGUUGUAUCAGUGGAUGAUCAGCCCUGAGCUAACAUCUGCUGCCAAUCCUCGUCUUUUUGCUGAGGAAGACUGGCCCUGACCUCACAUCCAUGCCCAUCUUCCUCUACUUUAUACGUGGGACGCCUACCACAGCAUGGCUUGAUGAGUGGUGCCAUGUCCGCAGCCGGGAUCUGAACCGGCAAACCCUGGGCCGCCGAAGCGGAACGUGCGCACUUAAACACUGUGCCACCGGGCCGGCCCCUACUCAUCUCUUAGGUGGGGAAACUGAGAGGUUCUGGGACUUGCCCAAGAUCAUACUGCAAGUUCCAGACUCUGUAGUGGGGGACAGAGUAAUUGGUCAGAUUUGGCUAAGUCAUCUCAAGUCCAAGUUAGGAACAUAGGAAGGGAGGGGCCUUGGGAAUUAGAGGGGAAAAGGGAAGGGAAGCCUGCAGUGUUCAGAUUGGGAAAUU